rnacentral:rRNA from 1 species
UACGUAGGGUGCAAGCGUUGUCCGGAAUUAUUGGGCGUAAAGAGCUCGUAGGCGGUUUGUCGCGUCUGCUGUGAAAUCUGGGGGCUCAACCCCCAGCCUGCAGUGGGUACGGGCAGACUAGAGUGCGGUAGGGGAGAUCGGAAUUCCUGGUGUAGCGGUGAAAUGCGCAGAUAUCAGGAGGACACCGGUGGCGAAGGCGGAUCUCUGGGCCAUUGACUGACGCUGAGGAGCGAAAGCGUGGGGAGCGAACAGG